rnacentral:tRNA from 1 species
UCCUGGGUGGUCCAGUGGCUAAGACUCCCAGCUUACAAUGCAGGAGGCUCAGGUUCAACCCCUGGUCAGGGAA